AGGCAGCCUGCUCUUCCCCCCCGCUACACGCUGCGGGCUAAUCCGCUCACUCACUCCGUGUUGGGUUACAGUGACAAGGGCCCUGUCUGAACCACGACUUUUAGAAAGAUAAUAUUACAGGCUCACAGCUGAUCCAUCCUUCAGCACAAAACAGAGACAGUGAAGGUUAAAGCACUCUGCAUGCAUGGGACCAUACUGCAGCUGGCAGACCAGCUGAUAUGCAUUUUAUAUGCCAGUGAAAAGGAGACUUUACUGGACCAUUUACCAUCUGACAUCACGCUGAAGUCUGGUUGAGGUAUUUAUGCCUUUGGCAGGGUCUUGGUCUUUUGUUUCGCCCUGCUCCUCUUCAGCUCCACAAGGCGGCCCAUGUGAACACAGGCCCCUCAAAGAGCUAACACUGUUGUGGCAGACUUGAAGAAUGCAAUCAACACCAUAAAGAAAAGUUGGGUUCGGUAGGCAUUUACCUACAGGGUGAUGAUCAAAUGAUGAAUGUCGG